rnacentral:lncRNA from 1 species
CCUUUAUUCAACUUAAAUGAGUCAUUAAGAUAAAAUACAAUUUGCCCAUGUGCAGAAACAUUGUACAUUCAAUUCUGAGGAAGGUAGUUUUAUACAACCAAUAAAAGGAACGGUCUAAAAGUGAGAGGAAUAAAGACGAUAGUGAGAGGGGAGCUAAAAGGCAGAGUUUUAUCUGUCAAAGUGCUAAGGCCUAUGUGCACAAAGAUUAAGUGAACAAGACCAACAUAAGGUCAUUUCUUCCAUUCUGAUUUCUCUUGGUGCUGGUGAAAAAGUUUUAAGGUGUGAUGCAAUGAGUCACAGGAUUAAGACGGGUUUUAAAAAAAAAUAGGUCAUAGCACUUAUGGCUGAGAAAGGUUUAUUUCCAGAGUUUCAUUAGUCAUGUACUCGAGAUCUUUUAUGGAUUCUAUGAAUUUCACGAAUUCAGUAAGAGCCUGCCCUUCAAUCAGUAGUCUAUUAUCAAGGAACAAACGGUUAGGUCCUUCCCAGCCCAGAAUCCAUCUCCUUAUGCAACAACAGAGGAGAAACCAAAUCUGAGACUCUGGAAAAGUUUCAUUACUUUAAAGUUUGUGUUAAGUGAUUACAUAUACGUUCAGCUGGGGUUACCACCCAGGUCUUCAAAUUGCUAUUGCCCAAAAACCUAAAAUGAGAAUUGCUAACCUCGGGCCAAAGUCCAACUCCAUCAUUUCCAAGCUCUAGGUAUCUGGAAACAUCAGAUAUUGGUUUUUGGAAAGAAAGUAAUAAAGUAAAAGUUUUUGUACCACCCUUUCCAUAGAAAGGGAACAGGCUGUGUGUAAAAUAAUAGUUCUAAGGUAUCUUCAAGUAUUUUGAUAACAUUUAAUGCACUGCUUUCUUAUUGGGCUAAUUUAAAUUUUAAAUAUUUAGAAAGAGAACCCACGAUUAAAGUUAAUAAAAUUGUUGACUCAAGUUGGCAAAAUAGUGUUUAUGAGCAACAUCGGCAUUAUUUAACAGACACAGGUGCACAACACUAAAUCCUGAGCAGCAGCAAAAGCUGCCACCGGAUAACUCAAUAGAAAACCAUCACCUUGCCCAUAAAAUGUCUCAAAUCAAAUUUCACAUUCUAAUCAUGGCAAUUUAACAUUAUGUGAACUCAAAACCUUAAAAAAAAAAAAAAACUCCAUAAAAGGGUAAGUUAAGAAUAAUUCAGUUUACUUAAACCCAUUUUAAAUCCAAUCUUGGGUUUACCUUUUUUCUCCCCCAGGCAUUCUGUGGGUUUUGCAGUCAAGAUGGAAAUCAGUGGGCUUUUUUUAUUUCCCUUUAGCCUCCUUUUGAGUUUGAAGAACCAGGAAUAGAGUUGGAAGUUAUUCUUCAGGAGAACACACUAUCUCGUCACAGCCCAUUUCUAUGGCCUGAUCAUCUCUGGCUCUCCCUUCCAGGCUCAAUCCCUCCUUCCUGUCUUUCUUAGGGAAGUCUUUCUUAUAGAGAUAGUCUUUACUGAUUAAGAGUGAAAGCUCCACGGAGGUAUAGAGAUUCCUCAGUUUAUACAUCUCUGUAAAAGAAACUUGGUUUUCUAAGGUCACCAAGUAUUAGGAAAAUACAGGAUACCCACCCUCCUACUUCCUGGGCAAAGUUGGGACAUUUCAUGGUGGAAUACACCAAAUACCUCUUUUAAAGGUGAAUAUGGAUAUUUUGGCAUGCAGAAUUUGAGUUGCAAAUCCAACAAUCCAAGUUAAUGAUAAAUGAUAAGGAAAAUUCAAGAAUAAGCACUCACAAAAUACAAUGAUUUAUCUUAAAAAAAUUUUUUUUUUAACCAGAAAAUCUUAAAGUAAAAAUUGGGAAUUUAGGCCAUUAAAAAGGACUAAGGUACUGCUGAAGUUUCUUGUAGUUAAAAAUUCUGUGACUUCAUAAUGGGGGAUGGGGGAGCCAAUUCUACUGUACUAGAAUAAAAACUUUAGAACACCAGUUUUAUCCAUUAUGGAGAAAAAACAGGGAUGCAACAUCUCUUCCUUCUCACCAGACUACAAAAUGAAAAUCAAGGUUUAGUUUUAAUUCCCUUUAGCUUCCUUUCGGUUUGAACAUUAGGGAAAGGCAGGCUACAUUAUUUACCUAAGAGUUAUUGGAAAGGGUUAGUUAAGAUUAUAGCAUCUUUCUGGGUGCACUGACCAGAAUUAAUUGAACGGGAUUCUCUCUUCAACUAAGAUGUUACUAAGAAAUUUAAGUUUCUAUUAAGAAUUCUACAUCUUCUUCACUUCCAUGUUAUUUUACCUAGGGGCAAUGCCUUUCCUUUCGCUCUUCAUGUUUUGCCAUGGUUUCAAACAGUGCCUCAAACACGUCCCUUCCAUAACUCAUUUAUAUUUAAAUUUCCAUCGUGUCUUGGGAAAUAUGUGGUAUCUAUUACUCCUUGAGCCCUGAACUAGACAUGUGCUGUAUGGCUACUGAUAUGUUAGGAAGACCUUUUGCAAUCUACCUGGUUGCUUUUGUUUACCCUUAUAAAACCUGAACCUCAUCACAGUGCCUAGCACAUAGUAGGUGCUCCGAGAAAUAUGUGAAUCAAUGAAUAACAUGAUUUGUACACAAAACCAGCUAGACACAUUAUGCAAAAUCUUAUUUCUUAAGACCGUUUGGUCAAGUAGUGUCAAAAGCAUUGAACACAGGUUUCUAGACUGUGAUGUAAAUAAAGAAUGGACAAUUGGAGAUUCAAGUUGAAGUCGUGUUCUAGUAUAUUGCUCUUUCUCAUUCAACUGCACAUCAACUACACAUUUAGGCUCCUAUGUCAUUAACCUGAACAUGAAGAAAUUUUACUUCUGGUGAGGUAGGAGGCCCAUUUAAAUAAUUAUAAAUAUGUAUUAGAAACGGUGUGUGUGUGUGUGUCUGUCUGUAAAUGGCCAUAAUGGACUGGUUCACAUACAUUUAAAUAUUUCACUUUCACUUCUAUUAUAUAUGGUAAUUAUAAGAAUGCAGAUGUUCCCUGAGACAUACGAAAAUUUCCUUUAGAAAAAGCAUAUUUUAAGCAAAGAUUUAGAAUGCUGUUCUCUUGGAGUGGUAAAUGAUCUUCAAUGUCUUUGGGCAACCCCAAUGUUUGAAAUUUCAAUUUUUGAAAGAUAACAAGGCAAUCUUUUAAAAAAAGCAUUCUAUAAAUCCUUAUUAAUUUCCAAAAUAUGCUACUUUUAUCAGUGAAAUAAUCACAGCUGAGGAAUUAAGGGGAGAACUAGGAAACUAGAAGAGUCAGUUUCAUGGGUCACUAAGAUACAUUCGUGGAGUUCUGACCUUAUUUUUUAUUUCAUCAAUAAAUCUAUAAAUUAUUCAUUUUUAAAGAAUAGACUAGAUAUCUAUUUCCAAAGACUAUCUAGGUAUCAUUUUGCUCCUUCAAUCAUAUCCUAAAACCAAGUAUUUGCAACCACAAAAUUCUCUUGAACAGCAGGAUUCCAGGCUAUCUGUAGGUAUGGGAUAUAGACUGGCAGUUAAGCUCUCCUAAUAUCUGGCUGAGUCCUCAUUUGCAUAAAUGCCCUUCCUGACACAGGGGAGAUCAAAAUCCAAGCUCUCCUAGCUCUUCUAGCUCUCCAGAUCAAUUAGGAAGGACCUAAAACUGGUUUUGAAACUCCCUCACCGGAUCAAUCAGGAAGGAUACAGAACCAGUUAGGAAACUUACUUCUCAGAGAAGAACUGGUAAAGAGAAAACAAGUUUUUGAUUAUCUUCAUGGGAUUAUUUCUUCACAUACUCCUAUCGCUUAGAAGGUUGUGGCAGUGAAUGUUUGCUAAUGAAUUAUUAACCACAGUUGAGAAAGAAAAACCUAUUUUUACCCCUGAGAUAUUUUCUUACCAUUCUUUGUUUUAGAAGCAAACAGUGGGCACAUUAAAAAAAAAAAAAAAGGAAUGCACCAUGUUUUUGUGUUUGUCUGUUUUUCAACGUUCCCAGUAACAUCCCAUGGUUAAGAGACAGAACAGUUCAAGGGUGAAAGCAGAGACAGACAGAUUAGGCAAGUUUAAUAUUUUUACUAGAGUUCUGAAAGAAAUAUGCUACCCUGAUUUGUUUAUCACCAAAUUUCUCAUUUUACCCUUCUAUACAAUCUGUUGUAAUCUUCCAAUGGUAAUAAUAUAAGGCA